GAGUAAUGUCUGGGAAACUGCCUGAUGGAGGGGGAUAACUACUGGAAACGGUAGCUAAUACCGCAUAACGUCGCAAGACCAAAGAGGGGGACCUUCGGGCCUCUUGCCAUCGGAUGUGCCCAGAUGGGAUUAGCUAGUAGGUGGGGUAACGGCUCACCUAGGCGACGAUCCCUAGCUGGUCUGAGAGGAUGACCAGCCACACUGGAACUGAGACACGGUCCAGACUCCUACGGGAGGCAGCAGUGGGGAAUAUUGCACAAUGGGCGCAAGCCUGAUGCAGCCAUGCCGCGUGUAUGAAGAAGGCCUUCGGGUUGUAAAGUACUUUCAGCGGGGAGGAAGGGAGUAAAGUUAAUACCUUUGCUCAUUGACGUUACCCGCAGAAGAAGCACCGGCUAACUCCGUGCCAGCAGCCGCGGUAAUACGGAGGGUGCAAGCGUUAAUCGGAAUUACUGGGCGUAAAGCGCACGCAGGCGGUUUGUUAAGUCAGAUGUGAAAUCCCCGGGCUCAACCUGGGAACUGCAUCUGAUACUGGCAAGCUUGAGUCUCGUAGAGGGGGGUAGAAUUCCAGGUGUAGCGGUGAAAUGCGUAGAGAUCUGGAGGAAUACCGGUGGCGAAGGCGG
rnacentral:rRNA from 1 species